AACCGUGGUUUUCUUAAUGACAUCUGUGGUUUCUUUUUUAUAUUUAAGUACUUAACCUAUCUGGAGUUUUAAAAAUAGCAUUAUACAUCCAAGGCAGGAGUGAAUUUUCUCUUUUUCAAUUGGAGAGUCGAUUGGGAUGUAAGAACUCUGUGAGAUUCCAGAACUUUCGUAACUUCUCUGCUGUUCUAAUUUCCAUGGAGUGAUUAGAAGGGGUUAAAAGGAACUUUGUUGAUGCUUGUUUUUAAGCUCAGGGACAGCCAGGAAUGGGGGAUGAGAUGAGGCUGGGAUGCAGUCUUCAGACAAGGCUGGGAGGAUGCAAUGUGGUACCCAGAGGAGGGGAAGCAGCUGAGCUCUGCAGUGAAAAAGAAAGGAGGGCGGGAAAGGGGAGGCCCCCUGACGUGCAGCUGGACCUGGGAGAAAUGUGUGUGCAGGGGAUGCUGAUUACCCUCCUCCAGGUCACUCCCUCCUCUCCCAGUCACUUCUGCUCUCCUGACUUCUGGUUCCUGUCUAUCUUCACUCACUCACUCCGUGAUCCUCUGUUAGGUGGCAGACACGGGUUUGGCUUACACAGAAAAAGACACAAAACCCUGUCCUCAAGAAGUACUUUGUCUAGUAGAAGAGAAAAUGAAGGUCUUCACCAGUAUCUCGCGUUAAGGGUUCUGACAGAGAUAGAAGAAGCUGUGUGUCCUCCCAGACCACAGCUGAACCAGCUGAGAGGCAAGGGGAAUCCAGGGACCCUGCCAGGAUGUGGGCGUGUUGAAGGUGAGAUGGGAAGGAGGCACCCAGUCAUUAACCAGGCAGCAAAGGUGGGGAGACAGAAAGUGAAGCCAGGUCUGGAUUUCUGGGCUCUUCUUUACACAUGGAUUCAGGGUGGGAAGAGGAGAUUUGCAGAAAGCAAAUCUCAAGUGCCACGGGCAAAGAUAAGGACUUUGAUUUUUUUUUUUUUUUUUUCCCUUAAAGCAAAGGGAGCAACUGAAGGAUUUAUAAGCAGGGAAGUGACGUGUGUACAUCUGAAUUUUAGGCAGAUCUGUUA
rnacentral:lncRNA from 1 species